UACGUAGGGUGCGAGCGUUAAUCGGAAUUACUGGGCGUAAAGUGUGCGCAGGCGGCCGCGCAAGUCGAGUGUGAAAGCCCCGGGCUUAACUUGGGAAUUGCGCUCGAAACUACGUGGCUGGAGUGUGGCAGAGGAAGGUGGAAUUCCAGGUGUAGCGGUGAAAUGCGUAGAUAUCUGGAGGAACACCGGUGGCGAAGGCGGCGUUCUGGACUGCAACUGACACUGAGGAACGAAAGCCAGGGGAGCAAACGGG
rnacentral:rRNA from 1 species